GACGAACCGUGCGAACGUUGUUCGGAAUCACUGGGCUUAAAGGGCGCGUAGGCGGCUUGGCAAGUCCGGGGUGAAAGCCCCCAGCUCAACUGGGGAAGUGCCUUGGAUACUGCCAAGCUCGAGCGAGAUAGGGGUCGUGGGGAACUUCCGGGUAGGAGCGGGUGAAAUGCGUUGAUAUCGGAAGGAACGCCGGUGGCGAAAGCGCGACGACUGGAUCGUCUUCUGACGCUGAGGCGCGAAAGCCAGGGGAGCAAACGGGG
rnacentral:rRNA from 1 species